UACGGGGGGAGCAAGCGUUGUUCGGAUUUACUGGGCGUAAAGGGCGCGUAGGCGGCCACCGCAAGUCGACUGUGAAAUCUCCGGGCUUAACCCGGAAAGGUCAGCCGAUACUGCGGGGCUAGAGUGCAGAAGGGGCAACUGGAAUUCUCGGUGUAGCGGUGAAAUGCGUAGAUAUCGGGAAGAACACCCGUGGCGAAGGCGGCUCUCUGGGACGGUACUGACGCUGAGACGCGAAAGCGUGGGGGAGCAAACAGG
rnacentral:rRNA from 1 species